rnacentral:rRNA from 1 species
GUAGGUGACCUGCGGAAGGUCAUUA